UAUCCAUCCUUCUGAUAUGUUUCCAAACUUUUACUAUAGAAAUACAUAAUAUUAUUUGGGGUUAAAAAAAGUAAUGUUAAUUUCAUCAAAUGGGACAUUUUCUUUUGAAACUUGCCCUUUUCACUCAACAUGUUUUUGACAUUUAUUUAUCCAUUGUGCUGGUUAAUUUUAGGUGGCGACUGGACUGGGCCACUCAGGGCCCAGAGACUUGGUUAAACAGAAUUCCUCAUGCGUCUGGAUGUUUCUGAAUGAGAUUUAAAAAUUUGAAUCCACAGACUGAGUAAAGCUGAUUGCACUCCCCAGUGUGGUUGGGCCUCAACCAAUUCAUUGUCAGCUUGAAUAAAAAAAGAUAGAGUAAGAGAAUUCUCUCUCCACUUGCCUGUCUGAGCUGAGACACUGGCCUUCGGAAUCAGACUGGGACUCCAUCGUCAGCUCUACUGGUACUCUAGCUUGCUGACUUCAGAUACUGGGAACUUCUCUGCCUCCACAAUUAUGAUCAAUCUGUUGCCCAAGUUUUAAAAUCAUUUGAAAGGCCAGACUUCCCUUUGCCUGCAGGUCUGAAUUAGUAGGCAUUCAGUGGCCUAUAAUGAAUGAUUUUACUUAUUUACUUGCCAGAGACAGAGAAUGAGCACAAGCA